ACUAUACCUCGUCCGGCAAUCCAAAUCUCCUAUACACUCACAAAAAAGAACCCGUGUGUCAAGGCUGCUUCCCGACUACGCCUUUCUUUGAACAACUUCCCCCGGAUAAUAAUAUCUUGUGAAAACAAAAUUUAUUCUAGUUCCCGACCAGUAGUAUUUUACGACUAUCGUUGUUGUAUUCGCUCAUUCAUGACGACAGAGAAAAUAACAUUUCUAAAAAUAUUAGCGAAAACUUGUGGAAAGUCGAACCAAUUUUUUUGUGGCAAGGCUACCACGUCUUGAGGGAUGGGUUAUUUCUCAAAAUGUCUCCUUGGUUCGCCUUGACUAAUCUAGCGUAUUUCCUAUGCUAAUUAUACGCCAAAACCAUUAUCAUUUGAGGAAGCGGGCAUUCCAAACUGAGGGUGAAACAAAUAACUCUUUACUGGACCUUGAAUCGAACAUCUUUCUCUCCUUUCAAUCCAAGGCUAAAACGUGAUUCAUCAAUAUGUAACGGAAGAACUAUUUUCGAUGAUUCACGAGAAUUUUUUUUUCCUCUUCAAAUUUUAAUUUACAAAGUCAGAAUGCAUUGGCUUUCACGUCAUCUUGAAUGUGUAUUCUCCAUACAGCCAACUUUCCGGUUGUGUUAUUUAUUCAUCACCGCUUAGGUGACUAAUACAGCAGCAG